rnacentral:rRNA from 1 species
CAAUAGCGUAUAUUAAAGUUGUUGCGGUUAAAAAGCUCGUAGUUGGAUUUCUGCCGAGGACGACCGGUCCGCCCUCUGGGUGAGCAUCUGGAUCGGCCUGGGCAUCUUCUUGGGGAACGUAGCUGCACUUGACUGUGUGGUGCGGUAUCCAGGACUUUUACUUUGAGGAAAUUAGAGUGUUUCAAGCAGGCUUCCGCCUUGAAUACAUUAGCAUGGAAUAAUAAGAUAGGACCUCGGUUUUAUUUUGUUGGUUUUGAGGACUAGAGUAAUGAUUAAUAGGGAUAGUUGGGGGCAUUCAUAUUUAAUUGUCAGAGGUGAAAUUCUUGGAUUUAUGAAAGAUGAACUUCUGCGAAAGCAUUUGCCAAGGAUGUUUUCAUUAAUCAAGAACGAAAGUUCGGGGAUCGAAGACGAUUAGAUACCAU